rnacentral:rRNA from 1 species
GACGAACGCUGGCGGCGUGCCUAAUACAUGCAAGUAGAACGCUGAAGGAGGAGCUUGCUUCUCUGGAUGAGUUGCGAACGGGUGAGUAACGCGUAGGUAACCUGCCUGGUAGCGGGGGAUAACUAUUGGAAACGAUAGCUAAUACCGCAUAAGAGUAGAUGUUGCAUGACAUUUGCUUAAAAGGUGCAAUUGCAUCACUACCAGAUGGACCUGCGUUGUAUUAGCUAGUUGGUGGGGUAACGGCUUACCAAGGCGACGAUACAUAGCCGACCUGAGAGGGUGAUCGGCCACACUGGGACUGAGACACGGCCCAGACUCCUACGGGAGGCAGCAGUACGGAAUCUUCGGCAAUGGACGGAAGUCUGACCGAGCAACGCCGCGUGAGUGAAGAAGGUUUUCGGAUCGUAAAGCUCUGUUGUAAGAGAAGAACGAGUGUGAGAGUGGAAAGUUCACACUGUGACGGUAUCUUACCAGAAAGGGACGGCUAACUACGUG